rnacentral:rRNA from 1 species
UACGUAGGGGGCAAGCGUUAUCCGGAUUUACUGGGUGUAAAGGGUGCGUAGGUGGUGUGGCAAGUCAGAAGUGAAAACGCGGGGCUCAACCCUGCGACUGCUUUUGAAACUGUCAGACUGGAGUACAGGAGAGGUAAGCGGAAUUCCUAGUGUAGCGGUGAAAUGCGUAGAUAUUAGGAGGAACACCAGUGGCGAAGGCGGCUUACUGGACUGGUACUGACACUGAGGCACGAAAGCGUGGGGAGCAAACAGG